rnacentral:rRNA from 1 species
GAUGAACGCUGACAGCAUGCUUAACACAUGCAAGUCAACUGUGGCGGACGGGCGAGUAACGCGUAAAGAACUUGCCUCACGGAUAGGGACAACAUUUGGAAACGAAAGCUAAUCUCUGAUACUGUGAGAGAGCUUUGCGUCCAAUUAGCUAGAGGGGGAGGUAACGGUUCACUAAGGCGAGGAUGGGUAGCCGGCCUGUGAUGGUGAUGGGCCACAGGGGGACUGGGAAGCCACCAUUACUCAAUCGUGAGGCAGCGGUGGAAGAUAUUUGAAACUGGACCGAAGUCUGAACAAGCAAUUCGGUGUGCACAAUACAGUUUUGGGGAUGUAAAGGGCUUGGUUUUUAGAAGCGUUACCAACAGAAGAAGUAACGGCUAAAUCCGUGCCAGCAGCCGCGGUAAUAC